rnacentral:rRNA from 1 species
CCUACGGGGGGCAGCAGUAGGGAAUUUUCGUCAAUGGGCGCAAGCCUGAACGAGCAAUGCCGCGUGAACGAGGAAGGUCUUCGGAUCGUAAAGUUCUGUUGAAGGGGAAAAAGAGCGGAGAGAGGAAAUGCUUGCUGAUUGAUAUUACCCUUCGAGGAAGUCACGGCUAACUACGUGCCAGCAGCCGCGGUAAUACGUAGGUGGCGAGCGUUAUCCGGAAUGAUUGGGCGUAAAGGGUGCGUAGGCGGCCUGCUAAGUCUGGAGUGAAAGGUACCGGCUCAACCGGUACAGGCUCUGGAAACUGGCGGGCUAGAGAGCAGGAGAGGGCGGUGGAACUCCAUGUGUAGCGGUAAAAUGCGUAGAUAUCACGCAGAACCCCGAUUGCGAAGGCAGCCUUCCGGCGCCCUACUGACGCUGAGGCACGAAAGUGCGGGGAUCGAACAGGAUUAGAUACCCUUGUAGUC